GACGAACGCUGGCGGCGUGCUUAACACAUGCAAGUCGAACGGAAAGGCCCUGCUUCUGUGGGGUGCUCGAGUGGCGAACGGGUGAGUAACACGUGAGUAACCUGCCCUUGACUUUGGGAUAACUUCAGGAAACUGGGGCUAAUACCGGAUAGGAGCUCCUGCUGCAUGGUGGGGGUUGGAAAGUUUCGGCGGUUGGGGAUGGACUCGCGGCUUAUCAGCUUGUUGGUGGGGUAGUGGCUUACCAAGGCUUUGACGGGUAGCCGGCCUGAGAGGGUGACCGGCCACAUUGGGACUGAGAUACGGCCCAGACUCCUACGGGAGGCAGCAGUGGGGAAUAUCGCACAAUGGGCGGAAGCCUGAUGCAGCGACGCCGCGUGCGGGAUGACGGCCUUCGGGUUGUAAACCGCUUUCGCCUGUGACGAAGCGUGAGUGACGGUAAUGGGUAAAGAAGCACCGGCUAACUACGUG
rnacentral:rRNA from 1 species